ACGCUAGCUACAGGCUUAACACAUGCAAGUCGAGGGGAAACGGCAUUUAGUGCUUGCACCGAAUGGACGUCGACCGGCGCACGGGUGAGUAACGCGUAUCCAACCUACCCAUUACUGUGGGAUAACCUGCCGAAAGGCAGACUAAUACCGCAUAGUCUUCGAUGACGGCAUCAGAUUUGAAGUAAAGAUUUAUCGGUAAUGGAUGGGGAUGCGUCUGAUUAGCUUGUUGGCGGGGUAACGGCCCACCAAGGCAACGAUCAGUAGGGGUUCUGAGAGGAAGGUCCCCCACAUUGGAACUGAGACACGGUCCAAACUCCUACGGGAGGCAGCAGUGAGGAAUAUUGGUCAAUGGACGAGAGUCUGAACCAGCCAAGUAGCGUGCAGGAUGACGGCCCUAUGGGUUGUAAACUGCUUUUGUAUGGGGAUAAAGUCAAUCACGUGUGAUUGUUUGCAGGUACCAUACGAAUAAGGACCGGCUAAUUCCGUGCCAGCAGCCGCGGUAAUACGGAAGGUCCGGGCGUUAUCCGGAUUUAUUGGGUUUAAAGGGAGCGUAGGCCGGAGAUUAAGUGUGUUGUGAAAUGUAGACGCUCAACGUCUGACUUGCAGCGCAUACUGGUUUCCUUGAGUACGCACAACGUUGGCGGAAUUCGUCGUGUAGCGGUGAAAUGCUUAGAUAUGACGAAGAACUCCGAUUGCGAAGGCAGCUGACGGGAGUGCAACUGACGCUUAAGCUCGAAGGUGCGGGUAUCGAACAGGAUUAGAUACCCUGGUAGUCCGCACAGUAAACGAUGGAUGCCCGCUGUUGGUACCUGGUAUCAGCGGCUAAGCGAAAGCAUUAAGCAUCCCACCUGGGGAGUACGCCGGCAACGGUGAAACUCAAAGGAAUUGACGGGGGCCCGCACAAGCGGAGGAACAUGU
rnacentral:rRNA from 1 species